CCAUGGCUCAGUGGCAGAGCAUCUCUUUAGCAUGCAGAAGGUCCCAGAUUCAACCUCCGGUUGAAAGA
rnacentral:tRNA from 1 species